AAACACUUACUGCAAUAGAAGAAAAAGUUGUAUGCAGCUGGAGACACUGAAGCUGGAAUUUGAACCUCAAAGAAUGUUAUGAGAACUGAGAGAUGAGAAGAUCAAGAACUUGAUUAGCAGGAGGAAAUACAAUGCAACGAAAUACAAUAUAUGUUUAGGAGUUUGUAUGGGGCCCAUUCACCAGCAAUCAGGAUUCAACUGGGGCCUUCUACACAUGGGAGCAUUAUUUCAUACUAAAGCAUAUGCCGGGUAAUCAUUUUACCAACCACGGAUGGAUGGAAGGCUGAGUGGACCUCGACCCCUUUUACCGGAGAUUCGACUUCCUCCUUCCAUUGGAAUCGAACUCCGUCCGUGAGCAGAGCUUCGACUGCGUUACUGCCGCUUACCACUCUGUGCCACGGAGGAUCCCUACUUCAUACUAAAGAUGCUGUUUUUACCUUUUUUUUAGUUUGCACCAUCCACAGUAAGGGCUCAAUGCCUGCUGUAAACAAGGUAUUUUCUAUUCACACUGAGGGGAAGGAUCAAUCAUGCAGUUUCCUAGUGACCAUGCUCUCUAAUUUAACAUUUCCACUCCCUCUGGUUGAUUGACAAGCAUGCUCAGUUCGUCCUACCACUUGCAGUAGGUUCCAUUAAAAAACCCAGAAGUGUGAUUAUUAGUAUUUUCACUUGUACAAUACAGCUGAAAUACAAAUCUUUGUUUGAGCAGUAUUGCGCUUUUGUGUUGCGCUUUAUAAGGAAAAGAAAAAUAACUGCACAGUUUGCAGCAACAUAAAAAAGGCCAGCAGAAAGGAGGAGAGCAGCUGGUUGCUUGUCAGCCCACAGAAAAUGAAAUGAAAGAAGAGAGUAGAAGAUAAUGGGUGAGGAGAGGGGAGUGAUUGACACAGUGACCUAAAAGCAUUGGAGCAAAGCAUCUGCAAGCACUAGAGAUAAGGAAUGAAGACUUUUCCACCUCUCUUCUCAUAUUAUCAGUGGAUUGGGUUACUACAGAUUUACAGGGGGGAAUGGCACCACAGCUUUUGUUUGCCGGUAACAUCAUAUGAACUAUGCAAAUUUAAAGGAGAUGUGAGUAACACCAAACAUACAGUAAACCACCGUGUAGAUGAGCCCUGGAACAAUUAGAACUUGGCUCUAAUGAAUAUUAUAGACUUU